AGUGAACGCUGGCGGUAGGCCUAACACAUGCAAGUCGAACGGCAGCACAGUAAGAGCUUGCUCUUACGGGUGGCGAGUGGCGGACGGGUGAGGAAUACAUCGGAAUCUACUUUUUCGUGGGGGAUAACGUAGGGAAACUUACGCUAAUACCGCAUACGACCUACGGGUGAAAGCAGGGGAUCUUCGGACCUUGCGCGAUUGAAUGAGCCGAUGUCGGAUUAGCUAGUUGGCGGGGUAAAGGCCCACCAAGGCGACGAUCCGUAGCUGGUCUGAGAGGAUGAUCAGCCACACUGGAACUGAGACACGGUCCAGACUCCUACGGGAGGCAGCAGUGGGGAAUAUUGGACAGAGGGCGCAAGCCUGAUCCAGCCAUACCGCGUGGGUGAAGAAGGCCUUCGGGUUGUAAAGCCCUUUUGUUGGGAAGGAAAAGCAGCAGGUUAAUACCCCGCUGUUCUGACGGUACCCAAAGAAUAAGCACCGGCUAACUUCGUG
rnacentral:rRNA from 1 species